AAGUCGUAACAAGGUUUCCGUAGGUGAACCUGCGGAAGGAUCAUUACCGAGUGCGGGCCCCUCGGGGCCCAACCUCCCACCCGUGUUGCCCGAACCUAUGUUGCCUCGGCGGGCCCCGCGCCCGCCGACGGCCCCCCUGAACGCUGUCUGAAGUUGCAGUCUGAGACCUAUAACGAAAUUAGUUAAAACUUUCAACAACGGAUCUCUUGGUUCCGGCAUCGAUGAAGAACGCAGCGAAAUGCGAUAACUAAUGUGAAUUGCAGAAUUCAGUGAAUCAUCGAGUCUUUGAACGCACAUUGCGCCCUCUGGUAUUCCGGAGGGCAUGCCUGUCCGAGCGUCAUUGCUGCCCUCAAGCCCGGCUUGUGUGUUGGGCCCCGUCCCCCCCGCCGGGGGGACGGGCCCGAAAGGCAGCGGCGGCACCGCGUCCGGUCCUCGAGCGUAUGGGGCUUCGUCACCCGCUCUAGUAGGCCCGGCCGGCGCCAGCCGACCCCCAACCUUUAAUUAUCUCAGGUUGACCUCGGAUCAGGUAGGGAUACCCGCUGAACUUAA
rnacentral:sRNA from 1 species